rnacentral:rRNA from 1 species
GACGAACGCUAGCGGCGUGCUUAACACAUGCAAGUCGAACGGAAAGGCCCUGCUUUUGUGGGGUGCUCGAGUGGCGAACGGGUGAGUAACACGUGAGUAACCUGCCCUUGACUUUGGGAUAACUUCAGGAAACUGGGGCUAAUACCGGAUAGGAGCUCCUGCUGCAUGGUGGGGGUUGGAAAGUUUCGGCGGUUGGGGAUGGACUCGCGGCUUAUCAGCUUGUUGGUGGGGUAGUGGCUUACCAAGGCUUUGACGGGUAGCCGGCCUGAGAGGGUGACCGGCCACAUUGGGACUGAGAUACGGCCCAGACUCCUACGGGAGGCAGCAGUGGGGAAUAUUGCACAAUGGGCGGAAGCCUGAUGCAGCGACGCCGCGUGCGGGAUGACGGCCUUCGGGUUGUAAACCGCUUUCGCCUGUGACGAAGCGUGAGUGACGGUAAUGGGUAAAGAAGCACCGGCUAACUACGUGCCAGCAGCCGCGGUGAUACGUAGGGUGCGAGCGUUGUCCGGAUUUAUUGGGCGUAAAGGGCUCGUAGGUGGUUGAUCGCGUCGGAAGUGUAAUCUUGGGGCUUAACCCUGAGCGUGCUUUCGAUACGGGUUGACUUGAGGAAGGUAGGGGAGAAUGGAAUUCCUGGUGGAGCGGUGGAAUGCGCAGAUAUCAGGAGGAACACCAGAGGCGAAGGCGGUUCUCUGGGCCUUUCCUGACGCUGAGGAGCGAAAGCGUGGGGAGCGAACAGGCUUAGAUACCCUGGUAGUCCACGCUGUAAACGGUGGGUACUAGGUGUGGGGUCCAUUCCACGGGUUCCGUGCCGUAGCUAACGCUUUAAGUACCCCGCCUGGGGAGUACGGCCGCAAGGCUAAAACUCAAAGGAAUUGACGGGGCCCCGCACAAGCGGCGGAGCAUGCGGAUUAAUUCGAUGCAACGCGUAGAACCUUACCUGGGUUUGACAUGGAUCGGGAGUGCUCAGAGAUGGGUGUGCCUCUUUUGGGGUCGGUUCACAGGUGGUGCAUGGCUGUCGUCAGCUCGUGUCGUGAGAUGUUGGGUUAAGUCCCGCAACGAGCGCAACCCUUGUUCACUGUUGCCAGCACGUUAUGGUGGGGACUCAGUGGAGACCGCCGGGGUCAACUCGGAGGAAGGUGGGGAUGACGUCAAGUCAUCAUGCCCCUUAUGUCCAGGGCUUCACGCAUGCUACAAUGGCUGGUACAGAGAGUGGCGAGCCUGUGAGGGUGAGCGAAUCUCGGAAAGCCGGUCUCAGUUCGGAUUGGGGUCUGCAACUCGACCUCAUGAAGUCGGAGUCGCUAGUAAUCGCAGAUCAGCAACGCUGCGGUGAAUACGUUCCCGGGGCU